rnacentral:rRNA from 1 species
AUUGGACGCUGGCGGCAUGCCUUACACAUGCAAGUCGAACGGCAGCACGGGGGCAACCCUGGUGGCGAGUGGCGAACGGGUGAGUAAUGCAUCGGAACGUGCCCAGUAGUGGGGGAUAACCAGUCGAAAGACUGGCUAAUACCGCAUACGACCUAAGGGUGAAAGCGGGGGACCGUAAGGCCUCGCGCUAUUGGAGCGGCCGAUGUCUGAUUAGCUAGUUGGCGGGGGAAGAGCCCACCAAGGCGACGAUCAGUAGCUGGUCUGAGAGGAGUAGCAGCCACACUGGGACUGAGACACGGCCCAGACUCCUACGGGAGGCAUCAGUGGGGAAUUUUGGCCAAUGGGCGCAAGCCUGAUCCAGCCAUGCCGCGUGCGGGAAGAAGGCCUUCGGGUUGUAAACCGCUUUUGGCAGGAACGAAACGGCGCAAGCCAAUACCUUGCGCUAAUGACGGUACCUGCAGAAUAAGCACCGGCUAACUACGUGCCAGCAGCCGCCGUAAGAC